rnacentral:rRNA from 1 species
CCGGCUUACCAACCCGAUGCAAACUGCGAAUACCGGAGAAUGUUAUCACGGGAGACACACGGCGGGUGCUAACGUCCGUCGUGAAGAGGGAAACAACCCAGACCGCCAGCUAAGGUCCCAAAGUCAUGGUUAAGUGGGAAACGAUGUGGGAAGGCCCAGACAGCCAGGAUGUUGGCUUAGAAGCAGCCAUCAUUUAAAGAAAGCGUAAUAGCUCACUGGUCGAGUCGGCCUGCGCGGAAGAUGUAACGGGGCUAAACCAUGCACCGAAGCUGCGGCAGCGACACUGUGUGUUGUUGGGUAGGGGAGCGUUCUGUAAGCCUGUGAAGGUGUGUCGUGAGGCAUGCUGGAGGUAUCAGAAGUGCGAAUGCUGACAUAAGUAACGAUAAAGCGGGUGAAAAGCCCGCUCGCCGGAAGACCAAGGGUUCCUGUCCAACGUUAAUCGGGGCAGGGUGAGUCGACCCCUAAGGCGAGGCCGAAAGGCGUAGUCGAUGGGAAACGGGUUAAUAUUCCCGUACUUGGUGUUACUGCGAAGGGGGGACGGAGAAGGCUAUGUUGGCCGGGCGACGGUUGUCCCGGUUUAAGCGUGUAGGUGUGUGUUCCAGGUAAAUCCGGUUCACUUUAACACUGAGGCGUGACGACGAGGCACUACGGUGCUGAAGCAACAAAUGCCCUGCUUCCAGGAAAAGCCUCUAAGCAUCAGGUAACAUCAAAUCGUACCCCAAACCGACACAGGUGGUCAGGUAGAGAAUACCAAGGCGCUUGAGAGAACUCGGGUGAAGGAACUAGGCAAAAUGGUGCCGUAACUUCGGGAGAAGGCACGCUGACACGUAGGUGAAGUGAUUUACUCAUGGAGCUGAAGUCAGUCGAAGAUACCAGCUGGCUGCAACUGUUUAUUAAAAACACAGCACUGUGCAAACACGAAAGUGGACGUAUACGGUGUGACGCCUGCCCGGUGCCGGAAGGUUAAUUGAUGGGGUCAGCGCAAGCGAAGCUCCUGAUCGAAGCCCCGGUAAACGGCGGCCGUAACUAUAACGGUCCUAAGGUAGCGAAAUUCCUUGUCGGGUAAGUUCCGACCUGCACGAAUGGCGUAAUGAUGGCCAGGCUGUCUCCACCCGAGACUCAGUGAAAUUGAACUCGCUGUGAAGAUGCAGUGUACCCGCGGCAAGACGGAAAGACCCCGUGAACCUUUACUAUAGCUUGACACUGAACAUUGAGCCUUGAUGUGUAGGAUAGGUGGGAGGCUUUGAAGUGUGGACGCCAGUCUGCAUGGAGCCGACCUUGAAAUACCACCCUUUAAUGUUUGAUGUUCUAACGUGGACCCGUUACCCGGGUUGCGGACA